AACACAGCGAUGUGAAGCGAAACCCAAAAAGACGGUCUCAGUUCGGAUUGAAGGCUGAAAUUCGCCUUCAUGAAGCCGGAAUUGCUAGUAAUGGCAGGUCAGCAUACUGCCGUGAAUACGUUCCCGGGCCUUGUACACACCGCCCGUCACACCAUGAGAGUUGGGGAUACCCGAAGCCUGUGAGCCAACAGUAAUGAGGCAGCAGUCGAAGGUAGAAUCAAUGAUUGGGGUGAAGUCGUAACAAGGUACC
rnacentral:rRNA from 1 species